GACGAACGCUGGCGGCGUGCUUAACACAUGCAAGUCGAACGGAAAGGCCCUGCUUUUGUGGGUUGCUCGAUUGGCGCACGGGUGAGUAACACGUGAGUAACCUGCCCUUGUCUUUGGGAUAACUUCAGGAAACUGGGGCUCUUACCGGAUAGGAUCUUCUGCUCCAUGGUGGGCGUUGGAAAGUUUCGGCGGUUGGGGAUGGACUCGCGGCUUAUCAGCUUGUUUGUGGAGUAGUUGCUUACCAAGGCUUUGACGGGUAGCCGGCCUGAGAGGGUGGACGGCCACAUGGGGACUGAGAGACGGACCAGAAGCCUACGGGAGGCAGCAGUGGAGAGUAUGGCAGAAUGGGCGGGAGCGUGAUGCAGCAGCGCCGCGUGCGGAAAGACGGCCUUCGGGGUGUAAACAGAUUUCGCAGGUGACGAAGCGAGAGUGACGGUAAUGGGUAAAGAAGCACCGGCUAACUACGUG
rnacentral:rRNA from 1 species